GAUGAACGCUGGCGGCGUGCUUAACACAUGCAAGUCGAACGGAAAGGCCCCCUUGGGGGUACUCGAGUGGCGAACGGGUGAGUAACACGUGAGUAACCUGCCCUUGACUUCGGGAUAACUUCAGGAAACUGGGGCUAAUACCGGAUAGGAAUCCUUGCUGCAUGGUGGGGGUUGGAAAGCUUCGGCGGUUUUGGAUGGACUCGCGGCUUAUCAGCUUGUUGGUGGGGUAGUGGCUUACCAAGGCUUUGACGGGUAGCCGGCCUGAGAGGGCGACCGGCCACAUUGGGACUGAGAUACGGCCCAGACUCCUACGGGAGGCAGAAGUGGGGAAUAGUGCACAAUGGGCGGAAGCCUGAUGCAGCAACGCCGCGUGCGGGAUGACGGCCUUCGGGUUGUAAUCCGCUUUCAGCAGGGGCGAAGCUUGUGGUGACGGUACCUGCAGAAGAAGCACCGGCUAACUACGUG
rnacentral:rRNA from 1 species